AACAUUCUUCGGAAAUGGGAAAUGACCCUACCGGCGGUAAAGCCCGCGAGCGAUUUUUCGCAGAAUUCAGUUAAAGUCUGAAGCCGACAGUAAGUCUGGAUGGGAGAAGAUGGCU
rnacentral:ncRNA from 1 species